GUGGGGAAUCUUGCGCAAUGGGCGAAAGCCUGACGCAGCCAUGCCGCGUGAAUGAUGAAGGUCUUAGGAUUGUAAAAUUCUUUCACCGGGGACGAUAAUGACGGUACCCGGAGAAGAAGCCCCGGCUAACUUCGUGUCAGCAGCCGCGGUAAUACGAAGGGGGCUAGCGUUGCUCGGAAUUACUGGGCGUAAAGGGCGCGUAGGCGGACAGUUUAGUCAGAGGUGAAAGCACAGGGCUCAACCUUGGAAUUGCCUUUGAUACUGGCUGACUUGAGUACGGGAGAGGUGAGUGGAACUCCGAGUGUAGAGGUGAAAUUCGUAGAUAUUCGGAAGAACACCAGUGGCGAAGGCGACUCACUGGCCCGUUACUGACGCUGAGGCGCGAAAGCGUGGGGAGCAAACAGGAUUAGAUACCCGUGUAGUCC
rnacentral:rRNA from 1 species